GUUCAUAUUUUCGUGCCGAUACUGUAGGCCAACUUUGGAAAAGCAUCCACCAGUUAAUAAAUCAGAAUUAUUUCCAUGAGUGAAUAAGUGCACAUCCUUGACACUUCCUGGGGCCUCAUGUAUCAAUCUUGCGUACGCACGAAAACACGGCGUACGCCAGCUUUCACGUUCACGGUCAGAUGUACUAACAGUAAAAUUAACGUAAGAAUGUGCGUUCUUCCACGUAAACUUCAGGCCUGGCGUACGUACAUUUUUGUGAUGUUUGUCCGUUGGCGACUCAUAGAGGCAAUAAAGUGAAGUGGCAAACAUUACACUACGAACUGUUCUAUCGCACCUGCCAGAUAUUGCUUAUAAUUUGUAAUUGAUAAAUGAUUUGCCAUAUUAUUGUCACACGAGUCUUAUUAGAAUAUUCUAUGAAUUAUGCAAUUAAGUAAGAACAUAUAUAAAGGAUGUGAAAAUUGAUACAACCCGUCUAGCAAUGGCAGCUUUGGCUUUAUUAGAAGACAUUUUCAAUGGACAAAUCCGGAGAGAACGAGUUUUUAGGGACCACGGUGAUUUUCUGGCCCACGACGAUGACUGGCUCAUCAGCCGUUUCAGAUUUCCAAGGGCUAUACUCUUGGAGCUCUGCGCUGAGUUGGGUCCGAAUUUGGAAAGAGAGACAGUGAGGAGCCACGCAUUACCCGUUCCUUUACAGGUGCUUACUACACUUGGUUUCCUAGCAACCGGUUCUUUCCAAAGAGAACUGGCAGACCGCUCAGGAAUAAGCCAGUCGUGUUUGAGCCGUGCAAUGCCACCUGUAUGGGACGGCAUCAUCCGCUUGUCUACCAGGUAUAUAACGUUCCCAUACGAUGCAGGUGACCAGCCAAACAUCAAAGCGCAAUUUGCAGCGAUAGCCGGUUUUCCUAAUGUAAUCGGAGCGAUCGACUGCACACAUAUUGCUAUAAAGGCGCCAUCUGAAGACGAAUUUGCAUAUGUGAAUCGGAAACAUUUCCAUUCAAUAAAUGUGCAGAUUAUAUGUGAUGCACAAAUGCGCCUAACAAAUAUUGUGGCAAGGUGGCCUGGGUCAACCCAUGAUUCAUAUAUCCUUACAAACAGCAUGGUUGGGAUGAGACUCCAAGCUGGCAGGGUGCGCGAUGGGUGGCUACUUGGAGACAGUGGUUAUCCACUAAAGACGUGGCUGUUAACCCCCUCACCAACCCACAAACUGACCGAGAGCGCAGAUACAAUGAUGCCCAUUCCCGCACUCGGUCAGUUGUGGAGCGGGCGAUUGGGCAGCUGAAAUGUCGGUGGCGCUGCCUUGACAGGACCGGGGGGAUGCUGUUAUACCGCCCUGACAAGGUUUGCCGCAUCAUACUGGCCUGUGGAGUGCUGCACAAUGUCGCGCACAGGCAUGGCAUACCCCUUGGUGAGGUGGGGGCACCGCCAGAUGACCCUGACCCAGGACCAGUAUAUGUGCAGCACAAUCAACAAGCCAUUCAGGCCCGUCAACGUGUAAUUGCGACAAUAUAAAUGGUACUCAGACACAAAGUUCAUUUUUUGACCAAUUCUUUUAAUGAAUGGCUUAUUUCUGUGAGUGCGUCAGUGACAUUUUUAAGGUGACUGUUCAUUUCUUCAAUGGCCCUAACAAUUUGUUGUUGUGACUCCAGAACAGCAUGCGUCAAGACACGGCCAGAUGGACGGGCUUCAGCACUGGGGGGAACAUUAGAGACACGGGAGACGCUGGACUGAAUGGGCUCUGGCUGCUCAGGUGGUGCGGACUCUGAGUGCGUGCCAGUGGACGUUCCUGCGGUUCCUAAGUCCAAUUAAACACAGGCACAUCUUAACAGUAAUUUGAGUCUGUUCCUUAUUAAUGGGUACACGCAUUUGCAAUAAAAGCAGUGGAUACGUGAAAUCUCUGGUGUACCUUUUGCUAUAUUGCAUGCAUUUUAAAAUUAAACGGUGGCUGGCUAUGUAUAUCAAAGUUAAGGAAAUAAAUCUGAGUCACCUUG